rnacentral:ncRNA from 1 species
GUUCGUUCUCAGGGCGGGGUGAAAUUCCCCACCGGCGGUGAUAGCCCGCGAGCGCCCCGUAUCACGCGGGGGUCUAGCAGAUCCGGUGGAAUUCCGGGGCCGACGGUCAUAGUCCGGAUGGAAGAGAAUGCGC